GUCGGCGUAGCUCAGUGGUAGAGCGAGGGACUCAUAAACCCUAGGUCGGAGGUUCAAUUCCUCCCGUCGACA
rnacentral:tRNA from 1 species